CCUACGGGAGGCAGCAGUGGGGAAUAUUGGACAAUGGGGGGAACCCUGAUCCAGCCAUGCCGCGUGUGUGAAGAAGGCCCUCGGGUUGUAAAGCACUUUCAGUGAGGAAGAACGCCUGGUGGUUAAUACCCAUCAGGAAAGACAUCACUCACAGAAGAAGCACCGGCUAACUCCGUGCCAGCAGCCGCGGUAAUACGGAGGGUGCGAGCGUUAAUCGGAAUUACUGGGCGUAAAGCGCGCGUAGGUGGCUUGAUAAGCCGGUUGUGAAAGCCCCGGGCUCAACCUGGGAACGGCAUCCGGAACUGUCAAGCUAGAGUGCAGGAGAGGAAGGUAGAAUUCCAGGUGUAGCGGUGAAAUGCGUAGAGAUCGGGAGGAAUACCAGUGGCGAAGGCGGACUUCUGGACUGACACUGACACUGAGGUGCGAAAGCGUGGGUAGCAAACAGGAUUAGAUACCCCGGUAGUC
rnacentral:rRNA from 1 species